rnacentral:tRNA from 1 species
GUUUCAAUAGUUUAAUAAAAACAUUAGUCUUGUAAACUGAAAAUAAAUUUACUUUUUAAAACA